rnacentral:lncRNA from 1 species
AACCUAAAAGGGCAUAUUAAUAUAAGAAAUAACACAAUAUUUCAAUACAAAAAUAUAUCAAAGUGUACUAUAGUUUUACAAACUAAAUUGAAAUGUCAUUCACUUCAACCAUUACGAUUACAAGAAACUUCAAAUCUUGCUUGAACUUCAAAUCACUACAAAAACUUGCUUAAACUUCAAAUCACUAGCAUCCAAACUCAAGAUAGGAUCUGCAACAGUUCAUGAAACUCAGCGGAUUUCACUACGAUAUCACCUGGCUGCAAAGAGAAAUACACAAUAAGCGACUUCAUCCAAACUCAAAACAUGGAUGAAUAUAGCAUACUUGAUGAAUUUAGUACUACCAGCCAGUUAAGUUAUAUGGUGGAAUAAGACAUGUUAGUUGACAAGAAUAUAUUACAACAAUAACAACAUAAUACACAGUGAAAUUUCACAAGCGGGUUUGGGAAAGGUAGAAUAUACGCACAAGUAAUGACUUAUCCCCAGUUACGCUUGUCAGGGAGCAAAAGGAAAACAAUUACUAUUGUUUAUGUCCAGCCAAAUAAUACAACUUACAGAGUUAAGAGCCUGCUCAAGAAAUACAUCAGUAGCUACCUUUUUGUGUAACUCAAACCAAUUGGGUCUGCGAUGGCCACAAGCCACUACUCCCCUGUACUAAUUUUACUUUUUAAUGAAAUGCUUCAUAUUUCCUUACCAAAAAAAAAGUAACAACAAAUGGGUCCUAGUUAGAUAAAGUCUAAAGAUUAAUUCAUUGGGAAAAGAAAUUAAUUAGUAAUAUCUAUAUGGCUAGAUCUCACAUUAGUUGUACACUGAAAUGUACCUCUAAUCCUUAAUUCUUUGAAGUAUCAAAGUUCCAGAGAAAAAGAUUUUACUUACCAAUGCCAACCACCUUGCUAUGCCUAUAUAACAUAAUUAUAGGUGCAGUAAGUUCUCAAGACAAUGUAAAAUAUUCAUUAAACAACACCAACAACUAUAUAAAAGCUAUAACUUGAAAUGUAAAAGUCCAACUAGUGAAUUAGAAAAUACCAGUUACUAUUCAGAUGAUCAAUUAUAAUUUUUUGAAAAGGCACAAUUACUAAAAAUAAUGUGACCUCUCAAAACUGAACAUGAGUCUAAUGAUGCUUAGGAUUGGGUCUGUUGGGAGAAAUUGAAUUUUGCUUGCAAAAAGAGUCCACUGGCCAUCCAAGAUGUAAUCUUGGCAAUAAUCUUGUCCACUAAGGGUUUAAUUGGACUAUUGUAAGCCUUUUAGGUGUCGUUUAAUACAAAGAUUAAUAAUGUAGGGAUUAGUAAUGCAAGGUUCCUUAGUAAAAUUGUUUGGCACACCUAGAUAUUUGAAACAGAGUUCUCCAACCUCAUAUCCAAGCAUAGUCAAGAUGGUUUCCUUAGUAAAUUUGUUAAUACCUUCAAAACAUACCUGACUUUUCAAAAUGAUGGUCUUCAAAUCAGAAGCAUCAGAAAACAUAUUGAAUUUACCCCUCGAUAGUUGUAGUUGUAUAGAUCUGACAUCUCAUCUAGUAAAUAUAGUAAGUCAACAGCAACAAAGUACUGAUUCAAAACUGAUGUCAACAUCUAGAUGGAAAAAAAUGUUUCAUCAAACUUUCUUAGUUGUAAAUCAGCACAACUACAAAGAAAAAAGACAUUCUUGCAACUCUUCCAAAUCUGUUUGGGUUAAAGGAAUUUUGCAUUUAACUAUCAUUCCAUCUUCACUAACUAUCUAAAGGACAAAAUCAAAUAAAAAAAUACAAUAAACUCACAAGAUUUGUAGAGCGUCGCAGAACUUGAGCGAGUUGUGCAUGACUGCUUAUAAGAGCUUUUAUCUUCUUCAACAAUGCAGCCACAAAUAUUGACACUAUAGCACGAAAAAAUAGUGCAAACUGUCUUAAAGAAAGAUCUCAUCAGAAAAAUGAGAACCAAAUUUAAAAAGAAUAGCUGAAAAGUAGAUGAAACUUACGGAAAUAGCUGGGAAUAUAGACGAAAUCAGGUUCAGUAAUGUGGGAGGAGAUAGUGGUGGGAGUGACGUCUUUGGGAUCGGUGGCAAAAGGGAUGGUUGGGUUUGGGGACAAUUCCAGUUGUUGGGGAUGAUCGUAACAUGUAUACUCAAUAUACUCGAUAUGGUUAGUCAAUCGAUAAAGUGAAACAACCUUAUGGUGCUACUUCUAAUCCUACACAGGCUGAUGACGCGACAAGAAAGAACAGUUCAUCAUCAAACAAGUUGAAAACACCACAUUUCUCCAAUAUCACCACCUUAUAACAUAGAAACAAAUAUCAUAUCUCUCAAAUUUACCAGAUUCACUUACAACUAACAAAAAUCAAUUAAGAAGUUAAUCUAUCCAACCAAAAAAUCAAUUACUAGCAAGUUAUUCUCUAUGUAAACCUUAUUUAAUUAGAUUAUCCAUAUUGAAACCCUAAAGAAUCGAAGUUUAGGGGAAAUCCAAAAAGUACAAUAGUUAUAAACCUUAGAAAGAGCUGAAGCUUCUCCAUGGUGCAGGACGUAGGGCAACGAGCCUAUUGGAGCAUUCUUUUACUCCAAAAUCGGCGAAGAUAUUGCAGAUUUUCUGAAACUAAAAUAGAUUCAAAAUACAAAUCUCAAAACUUUUUACAAACAAUUUGAAGUUGAGAAAAAAAAAAUCAGUUGAUUUAUAGAUUGAAAAUGCAUGAAAAUGAGGAAAAGAGAACUCAUUUUUGAAGCUUUCGAUGUCUAAAUUAAGGAGCAAUUGUUAAAUAGAGAGAAAUUGGGAAGUAAGAGAGGAGAAGAGAAGUAUGAACCAACGAUACCGCCAAUCGCCACCGCCGCCUCCAUCUUUUCCUACUCCGACCACUGUUAUUGUGGAUGAAGACAGUGAUAGCUCCGCCACCAUGGAUUCGCCACCGUGCCGCCUCCAUCACUUCCUACUCCAACCCUAAUUAUCAUAUGAAAAUUGAUCAGUUCGGGAUCGCAGAAAAUAGAAUGAAACUUUUUUUUAUUUGGGGAUUAAAUGAGCAACGAUAUAAAAUUUUAUUUUUUAGGAUAGCGGCGGGUAAUAACCCCACAAAUUCUACUAAAAUUAUAGGGGUUAAUCAAACCUCCGUAAUUUGAUGUAAUUUGUGGGGGUUGAGUUAACCUCCAUUAUAAAACCUCUAGGAUUUAAGUGUUUUUUUGUAGUGGAU